rnacentral:rRNA from 1 species
CGCGUAGACUCAUGCGGUAGUGACCCCCCUUCACAGGGCGCGUGUCGCACGUAUGUUAUACGCACAGGUCUCCGAUAGCAACGAACGUGACCGUACUCUAUUGUUGCAGCGACAAUACCUUUCAACGGGUAUUACCGCUGCUUAGCAAGAUUCGUCUUGCAUUAAACUAUAGAGACCGCUGUUUCUUCUUUAAACCAGAGGAAGGAUACGGCAAUAACAGGUCUGUGAUGCCCUCAGAUGUUCCGGGCUGCACACGUGCUACAAUGAUCAUUGCACUGUGCAUCUAACCCAAUGUGCGCGGACGCCGCCGUGCGUAUAUACUUUAUUGUGUAUGCGUAUCGUGCGUGCGACCGCGCCGAACCUGCUUCGAAAGUAAACAUUUCCAGCGGGUAAUCCAUUAGAAGUAAUGACUCGCAUAGACCAUGGCACACUAUAUGUACCCGCGGGUUCUACCCGGCUCGCCUUUGUGUGAGUGCAGUGCGUAGCUCGUUGUUUGGUACGUGCCACUCCGUAUUAAUUCAUACGUGGGGAUAGAUCAUUGUUUAAUUGUUGGUCUCGGUCUUAACUAGGAAUGCCUUGUACGGGUCUUUGGUUCAACAUACCACCCGGAAUACGUCCCUGCCCUUUGUACACACCGCCCGUCGCUCUUACCGAUGGAUUAUACUAUGAAUCUAUAGGACUGCCAAAGUUGCUCUUCGCGGCGCGCUUAGUGGAAAUAUAUAGAAUAGUGUGAU